rnacentral:rRNA from 1 species
GUAGGGUGCGAGCGUUAAUCGGAAUUACUGGGCGUAAAGCGUGCGCAGGCGGUUCGCCAAGUCAGGUGUGAAAUCCCCGGGCUUAACCUGGGAAUUGCGCUUGAAACUAGCGGGCUUGAGUGUGGCAGAGGGGGGUGGAAUUCCACGUGUAGCAGUGAAAUGCGUAGAGAUGUGGAGGAACACCGAUGGCGAAGGCAGCCCCCUGGGUCAACACUGACGCUCAUGCACGAAAGCGUGGGGAGCAAACAGGAUUAGAUACCCUGGUAGUCCACGCCCUAAACGAUGUCGACUAGGUGUUGGGGAAGGAGACUUCCUUAGUACCGCAGCUAACGCGUGAAGUCGACCGCCUGGGGGGUACGGUCGCAAGAUUA